GGAGAGGUGGCAGAGCGGUUGAAUGCGGCGGUCUUGAAAACCGCUUUACCCGUAAGGGUAACGGGGGUUCGAAUCCCUCCCUCUCCG
rnacentral:tRNA from 1 species